CAUAAGGCUGGCCAAAUAGAUGGGAGUUAACUUGUAAAGAUCCCUAAAUGUCCAAUAAAAGAGUAUAUAUAUUUACCCUGGAGGCCAUAAAGAGACACUGAAGAUUUUUUAGUCAAGGAAUGACAUGGUCAGAUUGGUAUUUGGAGAAUACCAAAUUCAUAGUUGUAUCAAAGACAGAUUAGAAAGAACUGGGAAACAGGAUGACUAAUUAGGAAACUGCUGCAAGGCAAGAGGUGUCCUCAACUAUGGUGGAGGUUAUAUGAAUGAAAUGUGGAGUCCCAUGCAAGAGUCAAUGAUAUGGAAGCAACAUGACAGGACUGGGACUAGCUUGUCCUUCAGAUCCUUCUAGCUCUUUGGAGGAUCUAUGAGCCUCUAUAAGUUUAUGAGCCUGCUACCAUUAAUACAAAAAGCAGGACUUGUAAUUUCAAUUAAUCAUCGUGUGUCACUUUAAGAAUCAUUCACUUAGACAUGGACCUACUGAAUUGUUCUUUGAACACAAUAAAGUGAAUCUGGGACUAGGAUCAAGACUUACAAGGUAAGAGUCAACUAAUAAACAGAAAAUUGGCAACAACAGUUGCUAUUCACUACAUAGGCUUAUUUUGCUAUUAUUUCCCCUUAGGCUCCAUUGCAAAACAAAGCCAGAUUUGUAUCUGCAGAACAUUCUUAUGGUAACUGGAAGAAAUUAUCACACCAACAAAACUGUCGCAAACAUCUACUGCAGUGAUGGCAGCAGUCCUUCUCCCAUCAAAGAGCCUCUGUCAUUUAAAGAUUCUUGUAAAAAAGGAAAAAAAAAUGUGUGAAGACAUGCCCCCAUUUAAAAAGCAGGCUGUUGUCCUGUUACAAGGAAAGUAUUAGCACCAGAAGCAUCCUAAAGAGUUGUGCGUGGGGAAGAGAAGCAUUUAGAAAUACCAUGAGAAGAAAUCGGGACAUUUGGAUAUCAACUCAACAAGCAUUUUGAAUAGGGGCUUAUAAUGUUCUCUCCUAAGAACUUCAUGGUGGCUGAGCUCUUGAAGGUUGAACUAGUGGAGUGUAUGUAACCUCUGGCAGGUUCCACCAAAUGGGAAGGGUCUCAAGUUCAAGGUCAGAGGUGAACAGUUUGGCCUGCCAUCCAAGGACAAAUGCAACUCAGUUUGGAAAGGUUCAUCAACAAAUGUGAGUCCAUUAGGGGACGGACAAUGAAUCAUGGGGGUCAUCUACAGAAGCAUAGAAGUACCACCUAUGCCAAAGAAAUUGUAGAACCUUGGAAGUAUUGAAGUAUACAUGCGUCAGUGGGGAGAGACAAAAAUGAAAAAAAAUCAUCUUUACCUCUUCUAAUAGGAGAGAUGUGCCAUAUAAAGAGAAGCUGGGGGAGGAAGACAUGAGAUUUGGAGUUGAAGCUCAGUUUCCUCAUCUGUAAAAUGAAAGAUUGGACUCAAUUGCUUCCAAAGUCCCUUUCAGGUCAAAUUCUAUGGCCCUAAGCACAAAAUAAUACCCCAAAGCCAGAAUUUUAUAAUUUUAUAAGAGAGAAACAAAGACUUAUUCAAGGUCCAAAGAAGGAAAGCUCAGCACCGAUCUCUGGAUGAAAAGCUGACUGGACACAUUCCCAGGCAUAAAACAAGGUCGCAAAACAGCUGCAGUGGUUAAAAAAGGGAAGGAGGGUGAUGGUGUCUAGUGGAACCAUGGUGGGGAAAAAAUAAAAGAAACUCAGUUGUAGCAUUAAAAUCUGGAGCUAUGGAAGCUCCCUCCAGAGAAAUAAGCAUGGUAACAAGAAGUAGGCUGGAUAAAACUAAUCUGAAAUUUUCA